rnacentral:tRNA from 1 species
UUAGAAAAACAGGCCUUGAACCUGCCCUAGAAGGCCCAAAACCCCCUGUACUUCCACUAUACUACUUCCU